rnacentral:rRNA from 1 species
UUUAAUUCGAAGCAACGCGAAGAACCUUACCAAGUCUUGACAUCCUUUGACCACUCUAGAGAUAGAGCUUUCCCUUCGGGGACAAAGUGACAGGUGGUGCAUGGUUGUCGUCAGCUCGUGUCGUGAGAUGUUGGGUUAAGUCCCGCAACGAGCGCAACCCUUAUUACUAGUUGCCAGCAUUGAGUUGGGCACUCUAGUGAGACUGCCGGUGACAAACCGGAGGAAGGUGGGGAUGACGUCAAAUCAUCAUGCCCCUUAUGACUUGGGCUACACACGUGCUACAAUGGAUGGUACAACGAGCAGCGAACUCGCGAGGGUAAGCGAAUCUCUUAAAGCCAUUCUCAGUUCGGAUUGUAGGCUGCAACUCGCCUACAUGAAGCCGGAAUCGCUAGUAAUCGCGGAUCAGCACGCCG